UCCGGGUGCAGUGGCAUGUGCCUAUAGUCUUAGCUAUUAGAGAGGCUGAGGUGGGAGGAUCACUUGAGCCCAGGAGUUCUGGGCUGUAGUGCACUAUGCCAAUCCGGUGUCUGCACUAAGUUUGGCAUCAAUAUGGUGACCUCCUGGGAGCGGAGGACCACCAAGUUGCCUAAGGAGGGGUGAACCAUCCCAGGUCGGAAACAGAGGAGGUCAAAACUCCCGUGCUGAUUAGUGUGGGAUCUCGCCUGUGGAUAGCCACUGCACUCCAGCCCAGGCAACAUAGCAAAACCCUGUCUCU
rnacentral:SRP_RNA from 1 species